CCACGCCUCGCUUCCCCCCGCCGCCCCAAACUCCUUCCUCAGGACCGUGGGAUGCGGGCGAGCUCUGGUGAGAGUUGCCGGUCUCCAUUUCUAAGCGGGGAGCCGCCGGGAGCGGCAUCUGCCCCUGAUUUUAAUCCAAAGGAGCUGCUUCUGGAACUGGCGUGUCCGGCUUUGGUGUUUGCCUGCUGAGGAAGAGGCCCACUCUUUUCUCCAGUCUUGGUGUGUGGAUUUCUCUCUCUCCAAGUAAUUCCUCAGCAUACCCUUGAAUGGCAUCUACCACACGUGCUAUGUGACAGAUCCACACAAACAACAGAGGGGAAAGAGCCUCACUUAACUGAUUAGAGAAGAGAAGCAGUGAAAGGGAAUAUGCACAAAGCACUGCCAAAUUCACAGAGCAAAGGAAAAGAUAAAAAAUAGCAUAAUUUCACCGGCCUUUUUUUUCUCCAUUGAGUAAUGUAAGGUAUUUUUUAUACUAGCACCAGGGAAAGAAUUUUCAGGAAAAAAUGUGAUUUCUUAAUUAAGGAUGUCUAAUUCAAAAUAUAUUCAUUUAAUAAAGACUGAUUAUGAUAGAAGCAACUACUCAUUCAUAUCAAUAAUUCAUUCAGAAGUAAACAAUAUCAACAUAUUAGCAUUUAUUUUUCCAUUUAGUAGGCUGUGAUUUAAAAUAAAUCUAAAUCAUCAUAAUCAUUCUGCUCCAUAUGCUGGGAAAGAAAAAGUCACCUUAAACCAGAUGCAUAUUGUGAAAAAAAAGGAAAAAAAAGAAAAAGAGGAAGACAAGUUGUUCUAAAGAAACAGCAUAUGGGAGAAAAUCUUAAGCCUCAGUAAAGAUGCUCUGCUUUGUAGAUGGCAAUUUAGUUUUGAACUGAAAGAGGGUAUGUUUAGAUUGGAUAUUAGGAAGAAAUCCUUCACUGAGAAGCUGGUGAGGCACUGGAACAGGUUGUCCAGAGAAGCUGUGGAUACUCUAUCUCUGGAAUUGUUUAAGGCCAAGUUAGAUGGGACUUUGAGCAUCCUGGUCUAGUGGAAGGUGUCCCUGUGCAAGGCAGAGGAGUUGGACUAGUUGGUCUUUAAAGUCCCUUCCAACCCAAACAAUUCUGUGAUUCUAGAAUUCCCUGAUAACUAUGAUUCUAUGAUAGCAAAGCUGAGUUAUGCCAAACAAGAUUCUGGUCAAUAAUUUUCAAGAGCUAGAAGUCAAAUACUGAUUUCUUUCUUUUAGAAAAUUAAGAAAAAAAAGGGAUUUCUGUAAUUUCCUUUUAAUCAGGAAAAAGCAAUAAAUGUGAUCAAGAAAAAUUCAAGUUCGAAGAUGUUGAUGUAUGGAAACAAUAGGCUGUUUACAAGUUCCAAGUUGGCUCUGCACGUGUACCUGCCUGUGUGCUUGGAGCUGCAUUUAUUUUUCCUGUUGCUAAUUACAUAGCCAAUGCCUCUCCUAACUUGUAUCCUUAACUACCCACAUCAUUUUGUCUGCUGACAGCUCUUUUUCAGCUCCCAAACACAUCAGCACUCCUGAAGCAAGCUCUGUUAAAAACUUUCAUUUCUGUCCCUGUCUGAAGUCCAGAGAGUGGCGUUUGGAGCCUGUGGAUCAGGGCUGUAUUUCGAAUUUUUUUUACUUUUGACAUACUGAAAAGGGAAUGAAGGGCUCAAGGCCUGGUCAGCCUGUGCUUCCCUGCUACAGCAUCUUGAGAAGUUGGUGUAGGUCUCCUCUUAUCGCUUUUUCUGUUUUUGCUUUCAGUAGGUGAGGCCAGAUGCUGUGGUGGGGAGUGGGGUGUCAGCACUCUGCCUUUUGUGCUCCCACCUCCAAGGCAGCACUGACAGCACACUCCUUGGGCCUCGGUGCAGCCAUAGGGCCCUCUUGUCCUUGGAUGAGCUCAGCAAAGCCCUUUCUCUCCCCCAGACAGAGAGCUCUGUAUUCUGUCUGGGAAAAUAUGACUGUGCAUCCCUUCUUCCCCAGAAUUCCAGCAGUGAUGAUCUCGGGGGCCUCUCAAAGUGGUGGCUGCAGUUGCAAUGCUGUGAGCAUUGCAGGUUAACUCUGCAAAGAGGUGCUUUCUUAGCCUCUCAGGGCUGUCCUUUCUGGGAAAAUGAAAGCUGAGUGCAAAACUCUGACUAUAUUGUAUUUAAGGAAAUUGGGAGCAGAAGAAGGAAGCAGGAUGAAGAGAACAGUGAAAAAGGGAGAGAGAGAGGCCUCCCAAAGGAGAUAACUUUUUGAACCCACAAGACUGAAACAACUUCCCUUAACUGAAAUGACCCCAGCACAGCUAUUCACUAGAAGACAUCCUCCCUGAUUUCUUGGGGGGGCCCAUGAGACGACUGAAGUUGUAGAACAGCAAAGACUGGGAACAGGCAUCGAGGUCCUAUUGCUCCUGUCGGAAACUUCUGUUGACUGCAGCAUGAGUUGGAUGGGACCCAGAGAAACCAAAUACAGACAAGUAAUGAUGAGUUGGCCAUACAAGCAAGGAAAAUUACAGAUAACAGGUGCACAACAAUUAGCAAUGUAUCUUUUGGGUCAUCCAGUACAUCUUCUUGACACUAUGAAGUUGUUUCUUAUGGCAUAUUUUUGUGGUUUUUUGUGCCUAGAUUAAAUUUCCUAAGUGAUGCCAUAUCUCAAGGGAGAGGUUGUGUUGCCUAGAGCAUCCUGUUGUCAGGAGUUUUUUCCCAUUGUUAACGUCAUCAUGUUUCUUCUAUUUAUGUCCCUUUGAUCUCUUUUAACUAGUGUGAUGUUGUCUUUAGAUAGCAUUAAGGAAACUCAUAGAUAUUUAGCUCACCUAAUCUUUCCUAAUGUAGCAGUCCUUUCACCCCUCUUGUUAUUCUUCAUUUCCUCUCAUCACACAACUGCCUGGCAGUAUCUUUUUUAGUUAUGAGAUUUUAAAGACGUGGUGCAUUUCUCUGAUCUAACAACAGAUCUGGUAUAGAGCUGAGCCCCCUUAGUGUCUUGUCACCGUGUCCAGGGGAAAGCUGCAAGCAUUCUGAACAGACACACAGGUAUCCUGCUUGAACCACUUCCUUGGUGCCACUUUAUUGACCCACAAAACACUACUAAAACAGUUAACCUAGGAGUUAAAAAAAUAAAGUACAUGGCAUUUUUUUAUUUAUUUCUCAUAGAGUAAACAGACAGAAUAGCACAGAUAAAACAUCUUUGAUGCUGUUGAGAUUAUCUAACUCUUGGUCAUGAACAUAACAGAUUAACAUUAUGGAAAACAUCAUCUUCCAUAACUACAUUUGAAUGCUAGAAGAGUACAUUGUAGAAAGUGAUUAUAUACACAGAGACAAGCCUAGCUGUUCACUUCAGGCAAUAAGUUCUGAUCUACAAACUACAAUACUCCUUUUGUGCUAGAUGAGAUCUUGGUUGUAAUUGACUGUCUUUACCUUUGUGUUCUGUUGGAUGGGAGGAAUAUAAUUUUAAUCUGCUCUCUUUAAAUUUCCAUUAAGGAAUGUUUUGGCUACCUGCAGCCUCAUCCGAUGAUGCUUAAUGAACUCAGCUAGCUCGAUCUUCUGUGCACCAGCAGGGACCUCUUUAAAUGGGUAAACUGUAUAGAACGUUGUUUUCAAGUUUAACGUACUUGGAAUUAACCUUGUAAAAUAAUGGCAUCUUUAAAGACAGGUUAUAUACAUAGCACAGUCAUGUAUGUGUGCAUUUAUAUGUGCAUGUCUGUGUAUACAUGUGAAUAUAUACGUAAGUGCACACAGACGUAGAGAAAUGCUGAUGUUAUUCACCUUUUUGAAAUCUUUACAGCUAGUAUUAACAUGAAUGUGCUGUUAAAUUUGGCAGUGUUGUACAUUUUUGUUGGAGUUUACUUCUGUAAGAUAAAAUCAUAAAGAUAAGCUGUGAAACUCGUGCAGCUGAUGACAUAAUUCUAGAAUCUCGUGAUGCUGAAUCUCAUAUUUCUAUGAGUGUGGGAUGGAUGUUCCUCGCUGAAAUAAUUAUCCUGCCUAUUGCAGUGUAUGUUUCCUUGUUUUAUGUGGGCACUGAGAUGUCCAAACUAUUAAACAUAUAUGGUACAAUGA